GCGGUUGUGGCUCAGUGGUAGAGCGCUUGUCUUAUACACAUGAAGCACUGGGUUCAAUCCUCAGCACCACA
rnacentral:tRNA from 1 species